AGAUUCCCAGAAGCCCAAAAAGUCACAAUCAACAUUCAUUGCUGUCGGUGGGUUGUGAUGCUGAAGGGAAAACUCACGGAUCAAUGAAUGCAACUGUGAUUGGAACAGACACUUUACUGUACC
rnacentral:precursor_RNA from 14 species